UACGAAGGGGGCUAGCGUUGCUCGGAAUCACUGGGCGUAAAGCGCACGUAGGCGGACUCUUAAGUCAGGGGUGAAAUCCCAGAGCUCAACUCUGGAACUGCCUUUGAUACUGGGUAUCUUGAGUAUGGAAGAGGUAAGUGGAAUUCCGAGUGUAGAGGUGAAAUUCGUAGAUAUUCGGAGGAACACCAGUGGCGAAGGCGGCUUACUGGUCCAUUACUGACGCUGAGGUGCGAAAGCGUGGGGAGCAAACAGG
rnacentral:rRNA from 1 species